CCCAGCCACCCCCGCCUGCACUGAACAUCUUGCAAUCCUAACCGCGUACCCGCGCAGCAGCUGGUCCCAUUUGCUUCAAAGAUCGAGGAUCAGAGUGUCCUAUCCCGGCCGCCUCUCGAGUGCGCUGUGGCCGGCCGGCCUGCCUACCUUCCACCGGUCGCUCACCCCUAUUUGCCUGACGCUGCCAGCGGAACUAACAACAGCAAGCUCCCAUUUUCUGUUGUUCAGAAAGGGGAUGAGAAACCUACACAUUACCACCAACGCAGAGUUUCAGAGUAAUCCUUAGGGACCUGAUUGUUAAUGAGGCAAGGCAGCAUCUGCUGUAUGUUGCAUAACGAUCUCUCGGUUAGUCGUUUCAAUGCAACCUUAUUUGCAUCAAAGAAGAAAGACGAAUGUUUUUCGGCUCUCCUCGCGAACCCUCCCCCACCCUGCCUCCGAGCCCUGAUUUGCAGACUCCUCUGGCGGGAGAGCUCUCCCUAAUUACAAGAUCUUUUCCAACAGGGGGCGUGUAAACCCAGCAGCAGUUUGACUUCAAUUCUGCCUCGGCGACAUUUAAUAGAUUCUGGCAGUGUUUUCACUUACAACCCUUCGUUAGGCAGGGGAAUCGGGAAUAAUUACCCGGCAAUAA